GCUCCUGGCACUCCUGAGUUACAUGGCCUACUUCUGAGGCACGCAAAGAUUUGGUAGCAAAGCAAAGGGAAGGGAAGUGGCAGACCUGUCUCUCAGCUGCCAGCUGCAAUCUUUCUCGCACACCAGUGCCUCUCCUUCUUACAAGUUACGUCCUGUCGGUAGACGGACUGGCCCAACAACAAGGUUAUAUCUAUUGAGGUUAAACUUGCCCCAAACAGUGUUUGUUGGAGCAGAGAGGCAGAAAGCGUACAAAAUAGGAAGGUGAGUUCUCGAAAGAGUUAAAAUCCAGCCUUAAAAAUUCCACAUAUGCUCAGUCAGCGGCCAGUCAUCUGCCCUAAGUGCUGCCGCCGAAGACUGAAUGUCCUGGAAAGUUUGCUGUCACAUCUCCAUUAUGACAAAAGCAUUGUGCCGAACAGAUGAAAAAAUGCAUUGUCAACGGAAUCUUUUAUGUUUGUUUGUCUUCCUUUAAGCAACAUUGCCUUACUUGUUAUAAAAGAUAAAUAAAUAUUUGUUCAUUUCAA
rnacentral:lncRNA from 1 species